GACGAACGCUGGCGGCGUGCUUAACACAUGCAAGUCGAACGGAAAGGCCCUGCUUUUGUGGGGUGCUCGAGUGGCGAACGGGUGAGUAACACGUGAGUAACCUGCCCUUGACUUUGGGAUAACUUCAGGAAACUGGGGCUAAUACCGGAUAGGAGCUCCUGCUGCAUGGUGGGGGUUGGAAAGUUUCGGCGGUUGGGGAUGGACUCGCGGCUUAUCAGCUUGUUGGUGGGGUAGUGGCUUACCAAGGCUUUGACGGGUAGCCGGCCUGAGAGGGUGACCGGCCACAUUGGGACUGAGAUACGGCCCAGACUCCUACGGGAGGCAACAGUGGGAAAUAUUGCACAAUGGGCGGAAGCCUGAUGCAGCAACGCCGCGUGCGGGAUGACGGCCUUCGGGUUGUAAACCGCUUUCGCCUGUGACGAAGCGUGAGUGACGGUAAUGGGUAAAGAAGCACCGGCUAACUACGU
rnacentral:rRNA from 1 species